AUUGAACGCUGGCGGCAUGCCUUACACAUGCAAGUCGAACGGCAGCACGGGUGCUUGCACCUGGUGGCGAGUGGCGAACGGGUGAGUAAUACAUCGGAACAUGUCCUGUAGUGGGGGAUAGCCCGGCGAAAGCCGGAUUAAUACCGCAUACGAUCUACGGAUGAAAGCGGGGGACCUUCGGGCCUCGCGCUAUAGGGUUGGCCGAUAGCUGAUUAGCUAGUUGGUGGGGUAAAGGCCUACCAAGGCGACGAUCAGUAGCUGGUCUGAGAGGACGACCAGCCACACUGGGACUGAGACACGGCCCAGACUCCUACGGGAGGCAGCAGUGGGGAAUUUUGGACAAUGGGCGAAAGCCUGAUCCAGCAAUGCCGCGUGUGUGAAGAAGGCCUUCGGGUUGUAAAGCACCUUUGUCCGGAAAGAAAUCCUUGGCUCUAAUACAGUCGGGGGAUGACGGUACCGGAAGAAUAAGCACCGGCUAACUACGUG
rnacentral:rRNA from 1 species